GUGCCAGCCGCCGCGGUAAUACGUAGGGGGCAAGCGUUGUCCGGAUUUAUUGGGCGUAAAGCGCGUGUAGGCGGCCAGGCAGGUCCGUUGUGAAAACUGGAGGCUCAACUUCCAGCUGUCGAUGGAAACCGCUUGGCUAGAGUCCGGAAGAGGAGAGUGGAAUUCCUGGUGUAGCGGUGAAAUGCGCAGAUAUCAGGAAGAACACCAAUGGCGAAGGCAGCUCUCUGGGACGGUACUGACGCUGAGACGCGAAAGCGUGGGGAGCGAACAGGAUUAGAUACCCCUGUAGUCC
rnacentral:rRNA from 1 species